CAAUAGCGUAUAUUAAAGUUGUUGCAGUUAAAAGCUCGUAGUUGGAUUUCUGGCUGGAGCGAUCGGUCCGCCCCGCAAGGGGUGUGUACUAGCGUCGUCUCCGACCAUCCUUGUGGGAACUGUGCGGCCGUUAACUCGGUUGUAUAUGGGAACACAUCGUUUACUGUGAAAAAUUAGAGUGUUUAAAGCAGGCUUAUGCCGUUGAAUAUAUUAGCAUGGAAUAAUAAGAUAGGACUUUGGAACUAUUUUGUUGGUUUGCGUUACAAAGUAAUGAUUAAUAGGGACAGUUGGGGGUAUUCGUAUUUCGUUGUCAGAGGUGAAAUUCUUGGAUUUCCGAAAGACGAACUACUGCGAAAGCAUUUACCAAGGAUGUUUUCAUUAAUCAAGAACGAAAGUUAGGGGAUCGAAGACGAUCAGAUACCGU
rnacentral:rRNA from 1 species